ACACUCAUGUUUCUUUUCAUAUCGUAUAAAUCUUUCGCCUUUUACUAAAGAUUUCCGUGGAGAGAAACAACAUGAGUCUUAUCUAAUUUUUUGAUGCCCUGCUUUUUGCGGGGCU
ensembl:snRNA U5 U5 spliceosomal RNA